CUCGUCUUUGUAAGGAGACCACAGAGCUGGAAAGCAGCUGUGAGCAGCAUCUGGCGUUGCUACUUUUUAAGCAAUCCCGAUGAAGUGCUCGUGGAGAAGCCGCUGAUCCCUGCCUGCAACCUUUUUUUUUUUUGCAGGACACAGGAAUUGAUCAGUGUCAAGUGAAGAUCACAUUUUUAUAUGAGAUCUUGACUUUUCUUCCCCUCUUUUUUCUUACAGUAUAUUUUUAUAGACUUUGUUAUUAAGAAAAAAAAUUCAACAUGGUGCUGGGUAAAGUGAAGAGUUUGACAAUAAGCUUUGACUGUCUUAAUGACAGCAAUGUCCCCGUCUAUUCUAGCGGGGAUACAGUCUCAGGAAGGGUGAAUUUAGAAGUGACUGGGGAAAUUAGAGUCAAAUCGCUUAAAAUCCAUGCAAGAGGACAUGCAAAAGUACGCUGGACUGAAUCGAGAAAUGCUGGAUCCAACACUGCCUACACACAGAACUACACUGAAGAAGUAGAAUAUUUCAACCACAAGGAUAUCCUAAUUGGGCACGAAAGAGAUGAUGAUAAUUCUGAAGAAGGCCUCCAUAUCAUUCAUUCAGGACGGCAUGAAUAUGCAUUCAGCUUUGAGCUUCCACAGACACCACUUGCUACCUCAUUUGAAGGCAGACAUGGCAGUGUGCGCUAUUGGGUGAAAGCAGAAUUGCACAGGCCUUGGCUUCUACCAGUAAAAUUAAAGAAGGAAUUUACAGUCUUUGAACAUAUAGAUAUCAACACUCCUUCAUUACUGUCACCCCAAGCAGGCACAAAAGAAAAGACUCUCUGUUGCUGGUUUUGUACCUCAGGCCCAAUAUCCUUAAGUGCCAAAAUUGAAAGGAAGGGCUACACCCCAGGUGAAUCCAUCCAGAUCUUUGCAGAGGUUGAGAACUGCUCUUCCAGGAUGGUGGUGCCAAAGGCGGCCAUUUAUCAAACACAGGCAUUCUAUGCCAAAGGGAAAAUGAAGGAAGUAAAGCAGCUUGUUGCCAACUUGCGUGGGGAGUCCCUGUCAUCAGGGAAGACAGAAACCUGGAAUGGCAAACAAUUAAAAAUUCCACCCGUCUCCCCUUCCAUCCUUGAUUGUAGUAUAAUCCGUGUGGAAUAUUCUCUAAUGGUAUAUGUGGAUAUUCCAGGUGCAAUGGACUUAUUUCUUAACUUGCCACUUGUCAUCGGUACUAUUCCUUUACACCCAUUUGGCAGCAGAACUUCAAGUGUGAGCAGUCAAUGUAGCAUGAAUAUGAACUGGCUUGGUCUGUCCCUGCCUGAAAGACCAGAAGAACAUUGUUCGAACUGCGUGUACUUUUACCUUCAGCACCUCCUAGCUAUGCAGAAGUGGUCACUGAGGAGCAAAGGCAGUCCAGCCUAGCACCUGUAGCUGCUUGCGAUGACUUUGAGAGAGCACUUCAAGGACCAUUAUUCGCCUACAUCCAAGAGUUCCGAUUCCUACCACCUCCACUUUAUUCUGAGAUUGAUCCAAACCCAGAUCAGCCCUCAGAUGACAGGCCAACCUGUCCCUCUCGCUGAAGGAAUGCAUCCUAAGCCAAGUUGACUGGGGUCUGACUUGUAUUUCCGCCACAGUGAGAAUAAAGGCGUUCCAUGGAAGUUGCUGCCUAAAAGAAAAGGUGAAACAAUGAAACAACCUGUGAUUAUGCUUUUGAAGCCUACAGCAAACAUCAUAGGACUGCUCUUCAUGCUUGAAGACCUGAGCUUUCCCUCCCUGUUGUAUUCUGGCACAUUCUAAGAGCAGCCUUAAUAGCCUACACUCGUGUGUCAAAACACUCACCGUGUUGCAAGAGGGAUGACUUCCUCUUUUGAUUUGAAAAUUUGCACAUGCGCAAUGCUUUCGUUGUGCGGUUCUGUGUCACUACAGCUUUUUCUCAUUUAUGUUGGACUGUUGUUAACCCCUUUAACUUGUUUGUGGUCCGCACAACAAGGAGCGAAGAAAGCUUUGAAAACUUUAUGAUGACAAAUGCACUGACUUUUUUAUUGUUAGAAAAACAAACUAUAUAGUCUGGACUUUUCCUGCAUAUGCACAUGCUCAGAAUUGUCCCAGUAAGACUGAUCCGUGUAUCACCUCUUCAGCUUGGAUCCUGUUGUGGAUUUAUUACAAACAUCAAAUGCCUUCAAGCCAAUCUUUGCGGUAUGUUUUGCAGCCUACUGUAGUAGACAAGCAACAGAUAUGUGAGGUGAAAAAUAAGAGAAGGAAACUAAUAGGAGUCUUCGUCAAGAUUGUAUACCUUCUCGAUUCCUUUUUAAGAAUUUGUUGCCUUUCUACUAUUACCGCAAAGAAGAAUUUUGUUACAGACUGCCUAAAAUCACUUAAUCUCAGGUGAACUCAUCACUUGCCAAAAUGUUGAAAUGCUAUUUGUGUUUAUGUUGCACUGCUGAGUUUUUUCGCUUUCUGUUUUUGUUACUUUGUUUUUUGUUUUUGUUUUUAAUUUGGAAAGGGUGAUUUGGAAAAGGGACAUGCGCAAAUGAACACAUCCUCACUUCUUAUUAUCUUUAUGAAACAUAAAAGUCCUUAGUCAAAUUCAGAUGUUUUCAGAAGAGCCACAAGAGGUAGCACCCAAUGUAUAUCAAGCAAGAGUUAAAGUCAUGUAUGAUUCCUACAGUGAUUUGCAUUGGGGUUUCUCAGCCACGGGGGUGGGUAGGAAAGUGAAUAUAUUUUUAUACAUUCUUAUUCAUGAUUACUAAUGUGGAAAAGAUUUAUAAUGAACUUUUAGUUUGGGACAGAGGAAGUCUUCUCCCAAAGGGAUAGUAUACCUUAGUAAGAAGGGGAUCACUUCUUAGAAAAUAUGUCCCAGUUAGUGCUGCCACUCAAAUUACAUUCUUUCCAGGUAUGAAGAAUUAACAGUGACUCAGAAUAGUAAAACUGAUAGCUGUAACUAACUGGUAGGGAUUUGCUGUGGAUUGCAAAAUUCAGAGUGGGGGUCCAGCACAGAUGAUAGAGUGUAAGCUGGUAUACAUUAUUGGGGUUUCUUGACACAACUGCUAGCACUUCAGCAUUAAAGAUAAUUCACGCACAACUGUCUUACUAAACUCAUAACUAUUUUUAAAUCCAAAUGUUCAGGGUGACAACAGGAUGGCUCUUGUGCUAACCGCACGCUUUACAACAAUCAAACAAGUUUAAAGGUUGCUUUCUCUGGGGUAAAGCUCCACUGAUUCGAAUCUGUCUUGCUCUGAGGCUUCAUAACAAACAGGAUAGGCUUUUCAAUAAGUGGCCUUUAAUAAAACAUGGACAACAAUUCAUGUUUGAACAAUAACAGGGUGAAAAAUAAACAGUAUAGAAUGAGUCACGUUUUAAGUGAUUCACUUAACAAAGUUUGGCCUUCAGCAAGCAAGCAAAUUUCCUAUACUGGAUAAUAAGGAAAUGGAGUGAUGGAAUUUUAAGAAGAAGAAGAAGAAGAAGAAAAAAACCUUUCUAAGUGAUAUGAAUGUCCCUUUUCCACAGAAGGUUAAACAAUAUUUUAAUGGGAUAGUGGCAUAAAAGGGCAUUUGGUGGUUUUCUUUUUUUUUUCCUUUGCUGUUUUUGUUUCAACUAACUAGGGAACAAUUGCUGUUAUGCAUAGCAUUACAUUUUUCACAGUAUGAUGAAAGUUUCCAUAUGAUGCAGGAUUGACCAAUAUUGUAAUAAUUGGCAUUGCAUCACAUCAAUUUUGUGAUCAAGUUUAAAGUUGUAAACACUAUAAAAAUAAAAUUGUUUUUUACAAAAAAAAAAAAAGUUACCCUUUCUGUGGCAUUACUGUUAUUUCUGAUUUCAUAAAAUAUUGGUCAAUUUCUGGACACUGUAAAAUAUGAGGUUCAGAAAUGUAACCCAGUAUUCAAAAUAAUCUAAUUAAAAACAUGGGGGGAUAAGUAAAACCCAAAAUGUUAGAGAAACAAAGUGCAAUAUUUAAUGUUUGCUUUAUAGAUUAUAUUCAAUGGCUGUUUGUAUUAUAUUUUCUUUUUUCUUUUUUAGUUUGGUGCUGAAUAUGUCCUUGUAGACUCUGUUUCAAGAAAACAAUACGUGGAAAACAAUUUAAUUUUUCCUAUUGCUCUUCCUUGUGGAUAAUAAACUCUUUUUUUACAAAAUUA